AGCAGAAACCAUCAGGAUUUUAGUUUGUUUUGUGAGCUUCAAUGUUCUUCAUUUACACCACUGAACAUUUUCUCUCUCAGGACAGAAAGUUUGGCUUCAUCAGACUCAGAAGAACGAAAGUCAAACUGUUUAAAUCAUCCUCAAGAGGUAACUCUGGUCCAGAUCACCAGGCAAGAUUGCCAUGUAGAAUUAGUUAUCAACCAAAACAUGGCUGAGAUAGGAGUGCACACUAGGGGUGUGCACGGAUACAUUUUUUCCCAAUCUUUACCUUGGCCUCACCGAAGACAAUGUAAGUAUCUGAAGCUGGACUUUUGUAGACAUCUGGUUUGGUAAUGACAAAUAGAAUGUUCUUGGACUUGCGAAUGGUUACUCUGGUAACACCAGCAACUUGUCUCAACCCCAAUUUGGA